CUGUGACCUCUGACAAGGUCAGGGCUCACUCCCACUUGCCUGCCCAGUGCCCGGCGCACUUCCCUAGGGGCACGAAGCCCGGGUCUUCUCAAGUCGUGUUCGAUAUCUAGUUAAGGCGUACAUUUAUCUCCAGCUUUCCCCGGGACCUUCCCUUUUGAUUUUCAAGAACAUUUUCUUCCCUCUGCCAAAGCAGUCCUUUCGAAUCAAAGGCUCGGCUUUUCUAAAGCACGGUUUGUGAUGUGGGCUUCAGUGCACUGGCUGCAAAGUUACUGAAACAAUGAGAGGGAACGCUGGCUGUCUCUCUCUCUUUAUCUUCUUGCUGUAAAGCUCUAAUUCUCCUUGAGGUAAAGUGGAGCCUCUGAUUGACGCGAGGACGCGGGGAAAAUGAAAGCCAAAUUAUUAUUAUUUCAAGUUGUGCUCUUGCGGCGUUCCCGAAUGUCUGUGGUGUGUUUGUGUUCCUUGUGUGUUUGUCAUCUUUUAACUUUAUUCACAGAGUCUUCUGUCACUUGCAACUUAACUGUUUUUAGUCAGAUCUAGAUGUUUUUCUUAUUUUUCUUCUAAUGCUGUUCUGGGGUUUGCUUUGUACAUUUUGUUCUUAAAAUCAAAGGGACUUUGUAUGGGUGUUGAGCGCGAGGUGGAGUUCAAAUUUUGUACUUGUCUACUUGUAUUUAUUAAAUAAUCUCUUCUCAUCCAGGGGUCAGAAUCCUUCACCCCUAGUACAGAGAUGGAUAGAUGGAAUUCAUCUUGUUUUAUACGAUAUUUUUUUUUCUUUUCUUUUUUUCGGAGCUGGGGACCGAACCCAGGGCCUUGUGCUUGCUAGGCAAGUGCUCUACCACUGAGCUAAAUCCCCAACCCACGAUAUUUUUAUUUAUGGCUUGAUCGGUCCCUCAUUUUUUUGUGCGCGCGCGCGCGUGUGUGUGUGUGUGUGUGUGCACACGCGUGUGUGCAUGUACACUUGUAAGCCAGAGGAAGAGGUUAGAUGUCCUCUAUAGCCCUCUGCCUUGUUUAUUUCCUGGACACAUUCUCUCACUGAGUCUAAAGCUCACGUGUUUUUUUUCUUCCAAGCUAGGCUAGCUAGCUACUUCCAGCUAUCCUCCUGUCUCUGCCCCUCACAGCCAUGGGGGUUAUAGGCACACGUGACCAAUCCAACUUCUUUGUGUGUGUGUUUGAAUUCGAUAGCUUCGUGCUUCUACAGCAAGCACUCUCACCCACUGACCCAUCUCUCCAUCCCUCAUUUUCACUAGGGGAAAUAUGUUUUUUGAGACAUGGUCUCUCUAAAAAACCUUGGAAGACUUGGAAUUCACUAUGUAGACCAGGAUGAUCCAGGACCCACAAGCAUCCCCCUGCCUCUGCCUCCUGAGGGCUUCCCUCAGUGUUUCCUUCAUUGGUCGUGGUGGCCCAUGCCUGCGAUCCUAGCCUUCUGGAGGUUGGAGUAGGAGAAGACUGGAGACGCCGAGUCAGGUUUAUACACUGAGGGCUACAUAGCGAGUCCGAGGUCAGUUCUGGGCUGUGUAGCAAACCCUAUCUCAAAACACAGAAAAGCAGGGCUGGGGAUAUCCUCAGUGGGUAAAAGCACUCAUGGGGAGGUCCUGAGGCCAAACACUCAGAGCACACAGGAGCUGGUCAUUUUCUGUUGCGUUGGUGAACUCUACAACCAAGGGCAAUUUCAGAGGAAAGGGUUUAUUUGGCUCACACAUCCCAAUCACAUGUUCUGUCGCAUCACGGAGGGCCGCUAAGACAGGAACUCAGUGUAGGAACCUGAGGGCGGGGCCUGAUGCGGAGGGAGACCAAGGAGGAGCGCUGCUCACUGGCUCGCUCCCGUGACUUGCUCCGACUUUUUUCUUAUUUUUCUUCUAAUGCCGUUCUGGGGUUUGCUUUGUACAUUUAGUUCCACCACCGAGGGCUGGUCUCUCCCACACCCAUCAGUAUCAAGAAAAAUGCCCGCCUCCCAGACAUGCCUACAAGACAAGCUGGUGGAAGUAAUUCUUCAAUUUCAGUUUCCUCCUCCCAGGUGACCCUAGUUUGUGUGAAGUUGACAAAACGAACCAGCGCACCGUCUGUGAUGCUACACCAGGAUGGAGAUGGGAGGAGAAUCCUGGGAAGCUCAGGAUAGGUAGCUGGUGUGCACAGCUCUUUAGCAACAGGCUGACCAGGCAGGCCAUCCUGCAGCGACCUCGUGUGUGCACUCGCACACAAGAGUGUGCAAACAUACGCACACAUACAUCAGGUACGCGAAAAUAGAGCACAUUUUCUUUCCCUUUCUCGCAGGAUGAGUGUGGAAUGGGAGUCCGUGCUUAACAAGUGCAACGUUUCCAUUUGGUUCUAGAGAUGAUGGUGCUGAUGGCUAUAAGGUGGUGUCUUGGAUGUGGCCAGUCGCACCAAGUCACACAAUUAAAACAGUUAAGUUGGUGAAUGUUGCAUGUAUUUUCCUAUCACAGAAGACUAUAUUUUUCCCCAGUACGUUUUAUUCUUGGGUAGUCAGAUUUGUGUUUUUUAUCCCUUCCAGAUUAACUUGAGAAUCAACUUGUCACAUUCUAUUAAAAGUCCCUUUGAUAUUUUUAUUGCAGUUACAUCAAGUUUAUGGAUUGCCUUGGGGAGAAGUGACAUUUUUAUGGCCCUGAACCUUCCCCCAGGUGGAGGCCUCCUCAUUGACUGGGAUCUCUCUUUAUGUCUUUUAGUAAAGUUGCAUAAUUCUGUUCCUAUCCGCAUGUUCUUGGCUAUGUGACAGCUUUAGUUGCUGCUGUGAAGGGAGUCUUGGGUACAGCACAGGAGCUCUUGCUCGAGUGACUCCAGCCCAGCCCUGGGAUACAUGGCUGGCUCUGCAGGGAUGUAGGACAGGAAGCACACACAGGGAGCCAUUUCACCAAGAUCCCCAUGAAGGCAGCAGCAUGUGGGUCUGUCCGGAGUUUCAUAGCCAAAGGGAGAGGAGGGUUGAGCUCAGCUGAAGCGCUUGGCAAGGUCAAGAAGAAGGACAUUCUGGAAGGAUCUGAACUUGUCACCAAAAGGGUCACGAAGAGGAUGGACUGAGGCUGAGAUGAGAACUGUUACUGCUCUUGAGGACGUGGCUCAGGCUGAGGCACCAAGGGAUCCUGCCGUGUGGUUAUUUUCGUAGCUUCUCAGAAACCUACUGUCCUCACCAGCAAAUGAGGGUGAAUUAUCAGGAUAGGUUUCACCAUCUCCCCUGGGCUGCAUGUGGCAGGAACUGUGUGGGUUGAGUUCAUUUUUGGGUGGGGUUCCUGCUGGUCCCCAGUGGACACAGGUGACUUUGAGUCCACGGCUUGGCAAAUAGCAUGGCUGGGGCUGUGCCCCCAUUUAUUCUUAGGUCAGGUUCCUACCCAGUGCACAGUAUGCACCCCAUAUUGAGCACAGGGUUGUGUGCGGGCAGUGUGCAGGAAAGAUAACUAAAAAAUGUGGGGCUUUGAGAAAUGAACAAAGUAUUUUUCCCCCUGAAGGGUCCUAACUUGUGCCCCAAAGGAAAUCCUUCAGCAGAACACCAUGGAGUCCUCCUAGUGUCUCCUUUUCUUUUCUUUUCUUUUCUUUUCUUUUCUUUUCUUUUCUUUUCUUUUCUUUUCUUUCUUUCUUUCUUUCUUUCUUCCUUCCUUCCUUCCUUUCCUUCCUUCCUUCCUUCCUUCCUUCCUUCCUUCCUUCCUUCCUUUCUUAUUAUAAAGGGUCUUUUGUAGCCCAGGCUGGUCUCUAACUCACCACAUAGCCAAGGGUGACCUUGAGCUUCUGAGUUUAGCAGUUUAUGCGGUGCUGGGGAUUGAACCCAGGACUUCAUACACGCCAGGCAAUAGAGCUACUUCCCCAACUCCGUUUCGUGUAUCUCUGCAGAGGUCUGGCAGGACGCGUGCUACCACACACAUCAGACGUGGAAGCAUCCAUUAAGUACUCACCCUAGGUGAGGCGGGAGUUCAGCUUGGUAACAAAGCCUUGGACAGUCUGGGGAGACCGUCAUAAAGAACUCUCGGGAAGGAUGCUGUAUGACAAGGAUUAGGCGGGGUGUGGUGGUCCACACCUUUAAUCUCAGCACUGGAGAGGUGGAGGCAAGCCAUCUCUCUGAUUUAGAGGCUAGCCUGGUCUACACAGUGAGUUCCAGGACAGCCAGGAUUAUUUAGAGAGAUAAAAUAAAUACAUAAGAAAUAAACAAAUGAGAAUUUGAAAGAGAAUCACAGCUGAAGGACAAGGAGGUGCCCACACGCUGAGAAGAGCUGAGGAGAACAUCCUAGGCUAGGGGACAAAUUCGCCAAAGACCUGAGGCGGGAUGAAGACUCGGGUGCCUUUGGAGAGCUGAACAGGAGCCAGACUGGCUGGCCCUCCAUAGGGCUGCCACCAAGUGGGAGUCCCUUGGGAUUUCUGCAGUAGCUGGAAGAACUGAUACGCUCCCACUGUGUUUCUGCUUCUGCUUCUCCCUCCCAGGGCAUGUCACCUCUCCAUGGGUACCUAUCAGAGUCUUCCACAAGUCAGGUAACAACAGCCCUGUGUUUCCCUGUCAGCCCCCACAGCCUCCUCCUCCAUCUGUAGGACGGAAGGAAGAAUGACUGUUGAGUUGUUGGAAUUUUCUGCAAUCAGUGAGGCGGCGGCAGAAGACCGUGCUCCGUCAGGACAGCGCUGGCUGUCUCUUGUGCGGACCUGAGGUGAUGGCUGUCACUCAGCGUUAUCCUCAGCCCUACAGAAAAAGGUUUGUACAUGCGAAUGGAGUGCCCAUGGAGGCCAGAAGAGGGUACUGGAUCCUCUGGAGUUACAGAUAAUUAUGUGGCAAUGGGGUCUGAAAACACCAAACUUGGAUCCUCUGUGAGAUCAGUAACCCCUGAGCCAUCUAUCUUUUCAGUACAUGUUUCUUUAAAUGAAUGUGGAUUGUGGGUAUAUGCACAUACGUGUGCAUGUGUGUAUAUACUCACACGUGUGUGCACGUGAAUAUGGAGGACAACCUUGGGUGACUUCCCCAGAAAUAUUGUACCUUUCUUUCCUUCCUUCCUUCUUCCCUCUCUCCUUCCCUCCCUCCCUCCCUCCUCUCUCUUUCUUUCUUUCUUUCUUUCUUUCUUUCUUUCUUUCUUUCUUUCUUUCUUUCUUUCUUUCUGAGACAAAAAUCUCUUACCAGUCUGGAACUCACCAAUGAGGCUAGACUGAUUGGCCGGAUAGCCUGGAGGAUUCUCCACCUACUCGACAACACUGUCCUUCUGUGCCAGGAGCUGCCAGAAUCCCGCUGCAGGAAUCCCAAGGCUACUGUUGGAUAGUGACCUUUCACUAUGAACACCACAGCGAAGAGGCCAGUCACUCCCUGGGUGGACUUAGAGCCCUGUUUGUCCUAACUCUGUGUAGUCCUGGAUGAGCCUUGCUGGGAGUCUGGUCUCCUGGUCUCCAACUGCUGCCAUUUACAGACAAACGCCACUUUGCCUGUGUUUGCCAGGCAAGCUCUUUAUAGGGCCGCCCUCCCAGCCCCUCGUGCACACACACAGAUGCCUGUGGAGGUCGAAGGACAACUCUGUGGAGUCGGUUUUCUCUGUUCACCUUUACACAGAUUCUGAACAUCAGUAUGAAGUCGUUGGGCUUGCCAAGUGCCUUUGCGCGCUCAGCCAUCUUACUGACCCUGUUUUGCUUUCUGACGUGGCGUUUUGUUAUUGUUAUUGUUGUUUUUGUUUUGUUUUGUUGUUGUAGUAGUUUUGUUUUGUUUUGUUUUCUAACUCUGUCACCCAGGCUGACCUGGAAUUCACUAUGUAGCUUAGGUUGUCUUUGAACUCACAGCCUCAGGCUUCUGAGUGCUGGAAUUACAGGUGUGUGUUACAGUGCCCAGAAUGUGAACAGUUUCUAAGUCAGCUCUAGUUCUUGUUUGAUGAAAACCAGUCAGGUUCUGGAAAGCCACCACACCUUAGGAAGGCCUCUGUUUUGAGGUCCCCUCCCAUCCUGCUCUGAAAGGGGAAUUCCCUACCGGACCCCUCCCCCAGUUUCCUUCAGUGGCUUCCCAUUGUCUUCCUUGGGGCCACACAACUCUGCACUCUGUUGACCUUGCUGGCCUCAUCUCCUAUGGGCUUGCUCUAUCUACAUUGACUGACAUCCUUCCUUCCCUUCCCUUCCCUUCCUGCCUCAACUUUACUCCAGUGCUUUGCCCCGCCCCCCUCCUGCUCUGGCUGAUCUUAUUCAGCCUCUGGGCCUCAUCUGAGAAGGUCAGUCCACCAGGAGACCAGACUCCUAGCAAGGCUCAUCCAGGACUACACAGAGUUAGGACAAACAGGGCUCUAAGUCCACCCAGGGAGUGACUGGCCUCUUCACUGUGGUGUUCAUAGUGAAAGGUCACUAUCCAACAGUAGCCUUGGGAUUCCCACAGUGGGAUUCUGGCAGCUCCUGGCACAGAAGGACAGUGUUGUCGAGUAGGUGGAGUAGCACAGCGGAAGCGUUUCCUAUCUCCUGCGGGCUCAAGUUUCUAUUUUCUUUCUUUCUUUCUUUUUAAAGAAUAGAAUCUUAUAAUGUAGCCCAGUCUAGCCUUGAACUUGUCCUUUCUACCUCUACCUCCUUGUUUCCUGGGAGCUGUAUACUACUGAAAAGGGACAAAGGGUAACACAGAACUGUCUUAUAGCUGGUAGCUCUGGCUUGACCAUGGCUGCUGGACAAUGGUGGGCUGUGGCUGUAACCCGUGGAGAUCUCUGAGGGAACAGGGCCAAAGGGUAGCCUAGAGACAGCAUUGGUUUCCCUUUGGAUUGUGUUUUCAUCGUGCAAACGACACUCGGGCAGCAAAAGGUUAUGUUCAAGAAGCAGGCAUGCCACUGGCCCCCAUCUAUCUUCUACAUCUGAUAUGUCGGGAAGAGCACCGGACCUGGAGUCCAGUACCAAGAUUGUUAUCUGUCUGCGGUUCGGGCCAGGCCACCUCAGGCAGGCUUUACCGCCUAUCUCUGUACCUUGCUGUCUCCCUGGCCUGGCUCACAAGUGUAUGAAGGCAGCUGGGGAGUGAACACAGUGUGCAUUUGCAAGCCCUUGGCGGAGAGUCCAGCAUAGGGUGGGUGUACAGUUUCUUUUUGAUCGAAGCGAUUGCUUUCAUUUCUUCUCAUGUUUUCUGCCAAGCUUUCAUGAAGUCCAGAUGAGUGUUUUGCACACUGUGGCCGUUCUUUAAAUUUAACUUUGCAGUUAGUUAGCCUUGCCUGUACCAAGGCAAUGACUCUGGCGUUUUCAUAAUUAUUUUGUAAUGGAACACCUUGCCACUGGAUUGAUUCAUCCUUUUUACGCAGUUGUCCUUCUGCUCUUGGACUUUCUGGUGUUAUAAAAGAUUCUGAGCUGAGUUCUGGAAUCCUUUCAUUUGUAUCUAGUUUGUAUCUCUUCUGUUGAAGCCAGACUAUUCAUAGUUCUUAGUUACUGUUUCUGUCUACUUUCUGGAAUUGUCUGUCCAUGGCCUUGGGUGAAUAUCACUUAGCAACUCAAAUUUUUUGUUUUGUUUUGUUUUGUUUUGUUUUGUUUUGUUUUGUUUUGUUUUGUUUUGUUUUAGUGGUGUUUAGAAUCUAUGAGUGCAAAUGCUCAGGUGGACUUUUUUUUUUUUUUUUUUUUUUUUUUGUAUUUUUAGAUCAGACUUCUCUGUGCAGUCCUGACUGUUCUGGAACUCACUCUAUAGACCAGGCUGGCCUAGAAUUCAGAGAUCCACUUGCCUCUGACUCCUGAGCACUGGAAUUAAAGAUGUCUGAUAGUUUUAGUUAUUUUUUGUUACAUAAAUGUUAACUUGUUUGUCUUUCCAUCUUUAUAUUUGUAAUUUUCUCCAUUUCUCCCUCUGUUCAGACACACCAGAAGAGGGCAUCAGAUUCCAUUACAGAUGGUUGUGAGCCACCAUGUGGUUGCUGGGAAUUGAACUCAGGACCUCGAGAAGAGUAGUCAGUGCACUUAACCACUGAGCCAUCUCUCCAGCCCCCCCCCCCCAACUCCCACACUUUUUAACCUCCACCCCUUCACUCACUUUGAAGACCAGGCUGGCCCCACAGAAAUCUACCUGCUUGUAUCCUGAAUGCUGGGAUUAAAGAUGUGUGCUACCAUAUGCUUCCUCCCAUUUUCUCCCCCAUCAACCUCUUUCUCUCCCUCUCCCUCUCUUCCUUUCCCUCUCUUUCUCCCUCUCCCUCUUCCUCUCUGUCUUUUUGAGUCUCAUUGAUCCCAGGCCAGUGUCAAACUUGCUGUGUAGCUGGAAAUGACCUUGAACUUCUGAUUCUCUCACACCUACCUCCUGAGUGCCAGGAUGAUGGGAACACAGCACGACACACAGGUGCAGGGGACUGAGCCUAGGGCUUUGUACUGAAAACAUGAACACCCUACCAACUGAACUACAUCCCCAGCAUCCCCAGACCUAGUUUUUAUAGUUUCUUUUUUUUUUUUUUUUUUUUGGUUCUUUUUUUCGGAGCUGGGGACUGAACCCAGGGCCUUGCGCUUCCUAGGUAAGCGCUCUACCACUGAGCUAAAUCCCCAGCCCUAUAGUUUCUUUUAUUGAAUUUAUCCAGCGUCUAACAUGAUGCAGACUUCUGAUCUGGGUACCAGGUGCAUGAAGAGGCAUGGGGCAACAGACAGGGUAGGCUCUGGUUUGCAGAAUGGAGGCACAGCCAUGGAAGCCAUUGCAGUGUGGCCCGAUGAUUAGAUAUGGAAGAGCAGCAGUCAAGGUUGUGGGACUCUGCCAGCCUCAUCUGAAGAACGACCAUGGGCUAGUUCCCUCAAACCUCACAAAAGUCUGGAGGUUUGAUAGCUGUUUUUAUUUACCCCAUCCUGAAGAUGAGGAAGAGGAUGGUUUCAUGUUUUCUCCAAGCUCCAAAAGCAAGUCACAGCCAAUAGCAUUUGAAGUAAAAAAAAGGGGGGGGACUUUGGAGACUGGAGAGAUGGCUCAGUGUUUAAGAGCACUGACUGCUCUCCCAGAGGUCCUGAGUUCAAAUCCCAGCAACCACAUGGUGGCUCACAACCAUCUGUAAUGGGAUCUGAUGCCCUCUUCUGGUGUGUCUGAAGACAACUAUAGUGUAUUCAUAUAUAAUAAAUAAAUAAAUCUUAAAAAGGGGGGAACUUCAGAGCUUGCUUUCUUCACCAGCUCCCCACCAACAAUAAGUAAGUAGUUAGUGGUGUGGUGGCGAUGGCAGCAGGGUCAAUGGAGUCCCCUCAAGGGAACACCUUCAGGGGGCAGUGAGUCAAAACUGAGCACUGGAAAACAGAAGAUAACUUCAGGAACAGUGAGGGACCAGAGAGGAGUGGUGUGACACAAAGCAAGGCUAGCAUCCCAAAGGGACAAAGAGCCUUCCCUUGGGACACGGAGUGGCCCGAGGCCCAGGACUCCUGUGAGCUCUAACUGCCCACCUUUCAGUAACCUGAUUAUUCACCACAGGUGCCAUGUAGGAACGUGGAGAUGAGAAAGACACUCAGGGUUCUGUCUGCAUGGAGUUUCUGGUCCUGGAAGAGGUGAGAAGGAAGCUGGUUGGAGAAUAUUUGCCAUUCAUCAGUGCUCAGCAGACCCUAAGUUUCCUUUCAGGGCCUGGAGAGAUGGCUCAGCAGUUAUGAGCACUGGUUACGCCUCCAGAGGACCUGAGUUUGAUUCCCAGCACCAACGUGGCAGCUCACUACAGUUUGUAACUGUACUCCUGGUGAGAUCUGCAGGCACUGUGUGUGCACAAGAGGCAUGGACAUACAUGAAGACAGAACACUCAUUACACAUGAAAUAAAAAAAUAUUGUUUAGUAA